rnacentral:rRNA from 1 species
AUUGAACGCUGGCGGCAGGCUUAACACAUGCAAGUCGAACGAGUGGCGGACGGGUGAGUAAUGCUUGGGAAUCUAGCUUAUGGAGGGGGAUAACUACGGGAAACUGUAGCUAAUACCGCGUACCAUCGGAUGUGCCCAAGUGGGAUUGGGUAGUUGGUGAGGUAAAGGCUCACCAAGCCGACGAUCUCCAGCUGGUCUGAGAGGAGGACCAGCCACACGGGGACUGAGACACGGCCCAGACUCGUACGGGAGGCAGCAGUGGGGAAUAUGGGGAAAUGGGGGCAACCUGACGCAGCCAUGCCGCGUGAAUGAAGAAGGCCUUCGGGUUGGAAAGUGCUUUCGGUAGCGAGGCGUUAACUACAGAAGAAGCACCGGCUAACUCCGUGCCAGCAGCCGCGGUAAUAC